GUCAUAUUAACAUACAUGUUACAGCCCCCUUUUCUGCUGUAUAUAAAGACAGAUUUCAGUUGCAGACUUUGGAGAAUCAGAUCAUCCAGACUUAACUUCGAAACAACCAUGAUGAAGAAGGCCGUGCUUUUGUGUUUUGUCCUGUUUGCGGUCAUUUCUGUGACCACCGCUAUUCAAUGCAAGAAACAGUUUCAGGAUUCCUUAACGUGUCGUGAUAAGAUUGAUCGUAAUUCGUACUUUUCUGGACAGACCUGGGUGAACAGCAAUUGUCAAUUUUGCAAAUGCGAGCCUGGAGCUCUGACCUGCUGUAUGGGAAAACGAGAUGCAGCUGGAAAGUGCAAACUUGAAUAGCAGCACCGCUGGAAAAGAAAUCCAGACAUUUACAAUGAGGGAUUUGAGUCUCCAUGUUGUUCAACUGUGAUUAAUCAAAUGAUGAGACUCAUUUUAUACAAUGUCAUGAAACAAAUAUGAUUCAUAAUAAAGCAACAAUGCAUUAUGCAAAUUA